rnacentral:rRNA from 1 species
UGAGGAAUAUUGGGCAAUGCCCGCAAGGGUGACCCAGCAACGCCGCGUGGAGGAUGAAUGUCGUAAGAUUGUAAACUCCUGUUAGAGGGGAAGAAUAGUACCGGUUGGACCGGUAUAUGACUGUACCCUCAGAGAAAGCCCCGGCUAACUACGUGCCAGCAGCCGCGGUAAUACGUAGGGUGCAAGCGUUAAUCGGAAUUACUGGGCGUAAAGCGUGCGCAGGCGGUUUUGUAAGACGGAUGUGAAAUCCCCGGGCUUAACCUGGGAACGGCAUUCGGGACUGCAAGGCUAGAGUAUGGCAGAGGGGGGUAGAAUUCCACGUGUAGCAGUGAAAUGCGUAGAGAUGUGGAGGAAUACCGAUGGAGAAGGCAGCCCCCUGGGCCAAUACUGACGCUCAUGCACG